rnacentral:rRNA from 1 species
AUGGCGACCACCACCAUACUGCUGCUGCUCAUCGUGCUGCCUCCGCUGGUGGCGGCAGCGGCGGCGGCUCAGCGCGUGGCGCUGCCGGGGUGCCGCGACAGGUGCGGCAACAUCACCGUCCCCUACCCCUUCGGCAUCGGCGCCGGCUGCUUCCGCGACGACGGCCAGCAGGGCUUCCAGCUCGAGUGCGACGACGACGGCCCCGGCAGCUCCCCACGCCUCGCCGUGUUCGGUUACAACCACCGCCUGGGGGCCCUCUCGCUCGCGGCCGGCGAGGCCCGCGCCUACCUCAACGCGACGAGGGAGUGCUACAACUCCACCGGCGGGCUCCUUGACCGGAAAGGCACGUUCAUGUCCCUCGGAACUAGCCCUUACCUCUUCUCGUCCACCAAGAACCGCCUGGUGGCGCUCGGCUGCCCCAACCUCGGCUUCUUCGUCGACGCCGCCGGCUACUACGUCAGCGGCUGCAUGUCCGUGUGCCGGCCGUCGCGGUACGUCCUGCCGGGCCCCUGCACCGGCGUCGGGUGCUGCCAGAGCGCGAUACCGCCCGGGAUCAGCUUCUUCGAGCCGCACCAGCGCAACUUCCCGCCGCAGCAGGACGACAACUCCGCCUUCAUCAGCAACGCCACGUCGUGCCACUACGUCUUCCUCGUCGAGGCGGAGUGGUUCAGCUACAGCGACCGCGUCUUCCUCAACCGCACCGACGACUUCGACGUGCCCGUCGUGCUCGACUGGGCCGUCCGGAACGUCGACAACUGCAGCGCCGCCAGGCGCAACGCCACCGACUUCGCCUGCCGGAGCGCGCGCAGCGAGUGCUUCGACGCCGUCAACGGCCCCGGGUACCGGUGCAACUGCUCCAGCGGCUACGACGGCAACCCGUACCUCGACGAUGAAUACCCCUGCUACGGGAUCUGCACAAACACGCAGGGGAGCUACACUUGCCAAUGCCCUUCCGGGACAAGUGGAGAUGCCACCGCAAAAAAUGGCUGCCGGCCAAAGGACAAGUUCACCUUAGCUCUGAAGGUCGUUACAGGAGUCAGUGUGGGGGUGUUCUUGUUAGUGUUCAUGUGCUUCUGGCUCUACUUAGGGCUGCAGAAGAGAAAGCUCAUCAAGGCAAAGCAGAGCUUCUUCGAGCACAACGAAGGCGUCAUCCUACAGCAGCAGAUGCGUGGCACUGCCGGGGGAGGCGGUAGCGGGUUCAAAAUAUUCUCAGAAGAGGAGCUCAAGAAGGCGACAAACAACUUUGCCGCUGACCAGAUCCUCGGUCGCGGCGGCCACGGCAUUGUCUACAGAGGUGUUCUGGAGGACAAGACCAUAGUGGUCAUCAAGAAGUCCAAGAUGAUGGAGGCGACAGAGACCAAGGAGUUCGCGAGGGAGAUGCUCAUCCUGUCCCAAAUCAACCACCGGAACGUCGUCAAGCUGCACGGCUGCUGCCUCGAGGUGGAGGUGCCGAUGCUGGUCUACGAGUACGUCUCCAACGGCACUCUCUACCAUUACAUCCAUGGCCGCGAGGGCCACGACACCAACAAGGCACUCGACACCCGCCUACGAAUAGCGGCGGAGUCGGCCAAGGCGCUGUCGUACAUGCACUCAUCAGCCUCGCCACCAAUCCUCCACGGCGAUGUCAAGACAGCCAACAUCCUGCUCGAUGGUAGCCUCACGGCCAAAGUCUCCGACUUCGGGGCAUCGAAGCUAGCACCAAGUGACGAGGUUGAGAUUGCGACACUGGUACAAGGCACCUGCAGGUACUUGGACCCGGAGUACCUCAUGACAUGCCAGCUGACGGACAAGAGUGAUGUGUACAGCUUUGGCGUCGUUCUUCUCGAGCUCUUGACAGGGAAGAAGGUGCUCUGCUUCGACGGGCCAGAGGAGGACAGGAGCCUUGUGUCCCGAUUCACUACGGCCGUGAAAGCCGGCCAGCACGGCGAGCUCCUUGACGGUCGGGUGAGAGUAGAGAUGGGCCCCGAGACGUUGGAAGAAGUUAGGCACCUCGUGAUGCGGUGUGUGAGCAUGAUCAGGGAGGAGCGUUCGUCGAUGAAGGAAGUUGCAGAGAAGUUGGAAGCUCUGAGAAGGUAUCAGCGGAACCCAUGGGGUCAGGCGGGUGCUGACCCGGAGGAGGGGCAAAGCUUGCUUGGCAGAGACAUAGAGCAACAACGUGAUGUGAAUUAUAUAUUCAAACCGCAAGACGGGCUCAAUCUUGAAGAGGGCAGUACAUACACUUUUAGCUUGUAG